GCCAGUGCGGCUCAGUGGUUUGAGUGUUGGACUACAACUCUGGAGGACCAGGGUUCGAAUCCCAGUUCGGCCA